rnacentral:tRNA from 1 species
GCCCAAGUGGCGGAAUUGGUAGACGCGUGCGCUUCAGGUGCGUAUGUCUUUCAGACGUGGGAGUUCGAGUCUCCCCUUGGGCA